UUAAUCCAAGGUUUUAUUUAGGGGCUCUGGGGAGCUCCUGCACCUCAGGGGCCUCCUGCUGAGAGCCCCGGGAGAUGUGCCAAGGUUACAUUGAAAGAGACGUGGAAACCAAAAGUAGACAACAUUUUACUAACCAAUAAGUGCCCCUAAGGGAUGGGUACUGAGGAAUAAACAUUUAGGACAGCGUAUGGGGCAAGGCUUGGGGGGCUGACCCCUGGCCUCUGACUAAUCACUCGACAACCUGGACUGAAGCUUCUAGAUGGAGGGGAUGGGAUGGUGAGUGAUUGACAGAGAGCCAGGGUGGAGAUUUAGGGAUGCUCUCAUCCAGGGAGAGGGAUUGCACAGGAAGGGAGUACAGUCUGGGGUAAACCAUUUGGGAAAAGUACGGGGAUACAAAACAAAGUUACUUCAAAGUAUUACUCAAAGUAUAAAAACACACUACAACAGUUAAAUAGGGAAGGUUCAUAAAUUAAGCCCCAGUUGAAAAGUGAAGGAGCAACUCAAAGUGAUGCUUCUGAGCUGAAGCCAUUGACUGCCCACCUGCUUUCAGUAUUUGUCCUAGCCAAGCUCCUCCUUGAGGCUGUGGAAAGGAUUCCUCAGUACACGGAGGAAGUGCCACUUGUAGGGCUAGGAUUAUAGGAUCAGAGCUUGUGGGAGUGGUUUUGAGCUAUUGGGACUGAAUUCACUGUCUUUUCCGAAAUAAUGAACAGCACUGCAAAUUAGGCUAAUUCUGUCUCUGCUGGGAGGAUAUUUUAGCAUCUUGCACAAGCGGUCUGAUCUUUGAAGCCUGAUGCAGUGUGUUCCAGCUUCUCAUGACAGAGAAGACACAGGCUUGUAAGAGGAUCAUGGAAGGAAGCUAUCAAGUGGAUUCCAAGAAUGUGGUCAUCCUGACCCAGCUCAUUCAAAUUCAUUUGUCUCGUGAUAAGAAUUAUAGACAGAAUACACCAGGUGUACAGAAGAAGACAAAUAGUUCAGAUGUCUAUGUGGAACCACUUAUGUGUGGAAGGCUUGUUUGAAUCCCAUAGAAGACUGGAGGAUGUUUCUGUUCCUCUGGAAGAACAACAGGGAGAAAUUUCCCACAGCAAGUUGUGGAUGGGACUGG
rnacentral:lncRNA from 1 species